rnacentral:rRNA from 1 species
AGUGAACGCUGGCGGUAUGCCUAACACAUGCAAGUCGAACGGACGCACAGUAAGAGCUUGCUCUUACGGGUGGCGAGUGGCGGACGGGUGAGGCAUACAUCGGCUUCUACUUUUUCGUGGAGGAUAUCGUAGGGACACUUAUGCUAAUACCGCAUACGACCUACGGGUGAAAGCAGGGGUUCUUCGGACCUUGCGCGAUUGAAUUAGCCGAUGCCGGAUUAGCUAGUUGGCGAGGUAAAGGCCCACCAAGGCGACGAUCCGUAGCUGGUCUGAGAGGAUGAUCGGCCACACUGGAACUGAGACACGGUCCAGACUCCUACGGGAGGCAGCAGUGGGGAAUAUUGGACAAUGGGCGCAAGCCUGAUCCAGCCAUACCGCGUGGGUGAAGAAGGCCUUCGGGUUGUAAAGCCCUUUUGUUGGGAAAGAAAAGCAGCAUGUUAAAACCCCGCUGUUCUGACGGUACCCAAUGAAUAAGCACCGGCUAACUUCGUG